UGCCGUUGUAAAAGUGCUUUUUGUGGUUGGCGUGAAGCGGGAAUUAUAAUUUAACUGUAUAGAAUUCCCAGUGAUCCCAUGUGGACGUGCGACGUUUGUGCAAUUAUAGGUUAGAUUAGGCUGGAUACAGCAUCUACUAAUACGGGAUUUAGAACGAUCCUGUUCUCUCCACGAGAAAUUUUAAACGUUCUCUCCACGAGAAAUAGUCCAUGGACGGCACAAGCAUCUCAUAUAUACUUCUCCUUGAAGGAUAUGUGGGACCGUGUUAUCUUCUUGAAAGAUGUGUGAGACUGUACAAUCCCAAGAAAGAGAGAAACAGCAUCUGUAACUUAGAAAAAACAACGAGUAGCACGCUACCCACAAGUGGAACCCACGAACUUGCAGUAUCUUUGCAUAGCAUUUCCAUACAUCCCCCAUCCUCUUACGAGAUUAGGGGUUCAGGACUACGCAGUUCCUCCUGGAAAUCUUGAAAUCUGCAAUGGAGAGAAAAGCAAGUCAUUCCAGUAAUCACGUGCUGUUCUGCCUUGUUCUCUAUUCUGUCGCACUUGUUGGGUAGCCAUCCUGUGCCUUUGUUUCGCUGACCGCAAAGCCUCUCUCGCAUACGCUUGGAAUUCUGCUCUAGUCGGUUUAUU
rnacentral:lncRNA from 1 species